AGCUUGCUUAAAGAAUUCUUAGUGGCGGACGGGUGAGUAACGCGUGGGUAACCUGCCCAUAAAGCCGGGACAACCCUUGGAAACGAGGGCUAAUACCGGAUAAUCUUAGAUACUGGCAUCAGUAUUUAAGGAAAGAUGGCCUCUGAAUAUGCUAUCGAUUAUGGAUGGACCCGCGUCUGAUUAGCUAGUUGGUGGGGUAAAGGCCUACCAAGGCGACGAUCAGUAGCCGGCCUGAGAGGGUGAACGGCCACACUGGGACUGAGACACGGCCCAGACUCCUACGGGAGGCAGCAGUGGGGAAUCUUCCGCAAUGGACGAAAGUCUGACGGAGCAACGCCGCGUGUAUGAUGAAGGUCUUCGGAUUGUAAAGUACUGUCUUUGGGGAAGAACGGUCUCCUUGAAAAUAUUGAGGGGACAUGACGGUACCCAAGGAGGAAGCCCCGGCUAACUACGUGCCAGCAGCCGCGGUAAUACGUAGGGGGCAAGCGUUGUCCGGAAUUAUUGGGCGUAAAGGGCGCGUAGGCGGAUUUUUAAGUCCGGUGUGAAAGAUCAGGGCUCAACCCUGAGAGUGCAUCGGAAACUGGGAAUCUUGAGGACAGGAGAGGAAAGUGGAAUUCCUAGUGUAGCGGUGAAAUGCGUA
rnacentral:rRNA from 1 species